rnacentral:rRNA from 1 species
AUUGAACGCUGGCGGCAUGCCUUACACAUGCAAGUCGAACGGUAACGCGGGGCAACCUGGCGACGAGUGGCGAACGGGUGAGUAAUGUAUCGGAACGUGCCCAGUUGUGGGGGAUAACUGCUCGAAAGAGCAGCUAAUACCGCAUACGACCUGAGGGUGAAAGCGGGGGAUCGCAAGACCUCGCGCAAUUGGAGCGGCCGAUAUCAGAUUAGGUAGUUGGUGGGGUAAAGGCUCACCAAGCCAACGAUCUGUAGCUGGGCUGAGAGGACGACCGGCCACACUGGGACUGAGACACGGCCCAGACGCCUACGGGAGGCAGCAGUGGGGAAUUUUGGACAAUGGACGCAAGUCUGAUCCAGCCAUGCCGCGUGCGGGAAGAAGGCCUUCGGGUUGUAAACCGCUUUUGUCAGGGAAGAAACGCUCUGGGUUAAUACCUCGGGGUAAUGACGGUACCUGAAGAAUAAGCACCGGCUAGCUACGUGCCAGCAGCCGCCGUAAAAC